ACAUAUGUGGUUAUGUAUAUACGUUAACUUGUUAAGAGUUUUUACUAUUAAAUAUGUUUAUUAAAUAUAGAUUAUAUUAGUGUGAAAAUUUAUUUUAUUAAAAGAUUUUUAAUAUGAUUGUUAAACUUGUUUUCAAUAUAUAUAUUUAUACAAUGAAUGAGAGUUUUAUAUAGAUAUUAUGAGUUAUGAUUGGUUAAAUUUGUGCCAGCAGCUGCGGUUAUACAAAUAAUUAAAGUUAAGAGUUUUUGGUGUUAAAAAAAGUUUAGAAAGAUAAGAUUUAUAAAAGGGUUAUGUAGUGUUAAUUUUUAGGUAAAAUUAUUAGAUUAAUAUGUUUAUUUUUUACUUUUUGAAUUUUUAUACUUUGAAAAUUAAAUAAUAAACUAGGAUUAGAUACCCUAUUAUUUUUAUAUUGUAAAAUUUAAUUUGAGUUUGCCCAAAUAUUAUGAUAUAAGUAUGUGUGCAUUUACAUAUGUGUGCAUAUAUGUGUAUGUUAAUAUAUACUUGUGUGUGUGUAUGUGUGGGUGUACGGGUGCGAAGAAUUAUUAAAAUUUAAAAAGUUUGGCGGUCUCACAUAUCCAGUUAGGGGAGUUUGUUAAUUAGGUUGAUAAUCCACGAUUUAGACUUACUUUUUUAUGAAUAUAUAUAUAUAUAUAUAUAUGUAUAUAUAUAUAUAUAUAUAUAUAUAUAUAUAUAUAUAUAUAUAUAUAUAUAUAUAUAUAUAUAUAUAUAUAUAUAUAUAUAUAUAUAUAUAUAUAUAUAUAUAUAUAUAUAUAUAUACAGUUUGUGUAUUGCUGUCGGAAGUUUUUUUUUUAAGAUUAAAAACUGGUAAAUGUUAUCGAUUUAUAUGUCAAGUCAUAAUGCAGUUGAUAAAAAAGGUUUAAUGGGCUACUGUAAAAAAUCUUUUUCCGGAUAAUAGGAUUUAAUUAUGUUAGAAAGGUGGACUUAAUAGUAAAUUACAAUUAGUAUGUUUAAUUGAAUUAUAGGUUUUGUGGGGUGUACAUAUUGCCCGUCACUCUUGUUUUAAGAUAAGAUAAGUCGUAACAUAGUAGAGGUAAUGGAAAUUGUUUCUGGAUAAAU
rnacentral:rRNA from 1 species